rnacentral:rRNA from 1 species
AUUGAACGCUGGCGGCAGGCCUAACACAUGCAAGUCGAGCGGAGCGGCAGUCGGGUGAGUAAUGCCUAGGAAUCUGCCUGUUAGUGGGAGAUAACGUCAGGAAACGGGCGCUAAUGCCACAUACUAUCACCUGCGCCUCGGUCGGAUUAGCUAGUUGGAGGGGAAAAGGCCUACCAAGGCGACGAUCCGUCACUGGUCUGAGAGGAUGAACAGCCAACCUGGAACUGAGACACGGCCCAGACUCCUCCGGGAGGCAGCAGUGGGGAAUAUUGGACAAUGGGCGAAAUCCUGAUCCAGCCAUCCCGCGUGUGUGAAGAAUGUCUUCGGAUUGUAAAGUACUUUAAGUUGGGAGGCGUUACCAACAGAAUAAGCACCGGCUAACUACGUGCCAGCAGCCGCGGUAAUAC